rnacentral:rRNA from 1 species
UAUUGCACAAUGGGGGAAACCCUGAUGCAGCAACGCCGCGUGAGUGAGGAAGUAUUUCGGUAUGUAAAGCUCUAUCAGCAGGGAAUAGAAAAGAAGGUACCUGAAAAAGAAGCCCCGGCUAACUACGUGCCAGCAGCCGCGGUAAUACGUAGGGGGCAAGCGUUAUCCGGAUUUACUGGGUGUAAAGGGUGCGUAGGUGGCAGGGCAAGUCAGAUGUGAAAGCCCGGGGCUCAACCCCGGUACUGCAUUUGAAACUGUCCAGCUGGAGUGCAGGAGAGGUAAGCGGAAUUCCUAGUGUAGCGGUGAAAUGCGUAGAUAUUAGGAGGAACACCAGUGGCGAAGGCGGCUUACUGGACUGUAACUGACACUGAGGCACGAAAGCGUGGGGAGCA